CUGUGUGGUCACGUCGUCGAUUCAAGAAAGGUGCUUCUUCUCCAUCCCCUUUGACUUACGUAUCCCACCAACGCCUACUGUCUCAAUCCCCCAACAGCACCAGUAACACUCCUUUUUUCACGUAACUAGGUAGCGCCAAGCCCCCUUCCUUUCUUCGCCUGAAGUUCACCUUGCCCAUCAUGUCUACCGCCCAGGCCGCUAUAGUCAAGAGGUCGUCGAGCGCGCUUCAGCGCUUGGUCGUUGACCCGUUAAUGAACGUGGCCCACAAGAUCGAGGGUCACUCAGCCAAGAAGAUGCAGUCCAUGGAGCCUGCCAUGGCGGAGUGGAUCAAGGCGCAGGAAGCUACUGGUUCCGAUGCCGCCACUAUCAGCCGCCAGCGCUUCUUGCGCGAGCAGCACCAGCUCAUGAGCUACCGCGUUGUCCGCUUCUUUGAAGAGUGCCGCUACAUCGCCUCUGGUCAGUACUACAAGAACUACAGCAUCGGCUGCUUCCUACAGGAUGCCCGUUUCGCCACGCAGGCGUUCUUCAUCUUUCUGAUGGCGGUCAUGGCUGGUCGCCGCUCUGUGUACCCGCCCAUCUCCCCAAACAGCCCGCUGGCCAUUGCCCUUGACCACAAGGUGAACCCGAACUACUAAAGCGGCUGAUCAACGUCUGCCACACCUGUCUCCUCGCCCGACCGCUUGGCAAGCACUCCCCUCCAUAACUCACCAGCGUACACACUUGCGCUGAAGAUGAGGUGGCGUUGCUCCUCUGCUCCUGCUCUUAAAGGCGCCGAGAGUGCGGCUGUGAGCAAGAGCAAGGAAAAUGACAAAAACAUUUUUGGGCGAGAAGAGCGCCGUCAGCAGCACCAAAAUGGAAGUGUGAAAGUGUGGUAUCUUAGGGAACUCUUCGUGUGUGUGUGUGUUUACGUUUGUGUUUGUGUUUGUCUGCGUGCGUGGAUGGGCGCGCGCCUCGGCUCUGUUGACGGGGGAGGGGAUGGAGACAGAGAGGUCUGUGUGGGGGAGGGGGAGGGGAAGUAAGAGGGAGAGUGGCGUGCGACGUGCGUACCCUCUUUUUCCCUGCCUCCGUCUUUCUCCUUCUCUGUUUCCCUCUUCCUCCAGUACAUCCGCCAUCACCGGUAUUCUCGCAGCACGCACUCGCGAGUGAGUCCGUUUUUUCUUUUUUGCUGUGUGUGCGUGUGUGUGUGUUUGUGUGUCUGAGUGCAUGUGUCAACGGACGUAGUAGUGGAACUUGAGGAGGAAAAAGAAGACAGCGUUGACUCUUGUACACGCUCUGACGCAUGCGCACGUACACGUUUCUAUGCGUCGCAGUCGCGCUGCCGGUGCGCAUGCUGAUCUGACGCGCUGGCACGUGACCUGGCCUGUGUACCCGCGUGCGUGUGCGCGUCUGUGCCUUGGAGUCGGUUUAACGAAUGCAAAGCAGCGAGCUAAC
rnacentral:misc_RNA from 1 species